rnacentral:RNase_P_RNA from 1 species
GUAGUAGGCGGGUUUGUCGCUGGCGAAAGUCAGAGGAAAGUCCGGGCAACACAGGGCGCUGUGCUUCCUAACGGGAAGUUGUUCGUGAGAGCAAACGAUUGUAGAAGAAAAUAACCGCCCGUUUUACGGGUAAGGGUGAGAAGGCGGGGUAAGAGCCCACCAUCUUGGUGGUGACAUCAAGAGUUGUACAAGUCACAGGUUGCAAAAUCAAAUAUACCGACGCAGUAGGGUGGCCCGUCCGAUGUCGGGGGGUAGAUUGCUCGAAACACGUGGUGACGCGUGUUCUAGAUAAAUGACAAACAUCUGCUUUUGGGCAGAUACAGAACUCGGCUUAUACGCCUACUACUUUU